rnacentral:rRNA from 1 species
UCUUGGUCAUUUAGAGGAAGUAAAAGUGUAACAAGGUUCCACUCGUGGCUAAAGCUCGGUAAGUUGCCUUCUUUAACUAUAUGAAGCCUUGAAGCACCAGUCCGGCUGUACAGUUGCCGGACAACCUUGCCUGUUGCUGGCGUCUCAUUAGAGUACCAGCAGUCGUUAAUGCGAUCACAGAUCAAACGCAAGUGGUACUCAAGUUAAAGAGUAUUUUGAUAUGUCGGUCCUUCUUUUAACUAAAAUGGAUUUUACGUUCCGUAGGUGAACCUCGGAAGGAUCAUUACCGAGUUAGGGUCUUAUAGGCCCGAUCUCCAACCCUUGUUUACUAUACCAUGUUGCUUUGGUGGGCCCGCUUUUCGGGGCCGCCGGGGCUUUUAUGCCCCUGGCCAGUGCUCGCCAGUAGCCUUAUUAAAUUCUUCAUAAUUAUGUUGUCUGAGUAUAAAUAUAAAUCAUUUAAAACUUUCACAACGGAUCUCUUGGUUCUGGCAUCGAUGAAGAACGCAGCGAAAUGUGAAAGUAAUGCGAAUUGCAGAAUUCAGUGAGUCAUCGAAUCUUUGAACGCAAUUGCGCCCUUUGGUAUUCCGAAGGGCAUGCCUGUUCGAGCGUCAUUAUAACCAUCAAGCCUGGCUUGUCGUUGGACCCCUUGUUGCUGAAAUAUGCGCAGGUCCGAAAGAUAAUGACGGCGUCGUGUUUGACCCUAGAUGCAACGACUUUUUAGCACGCAUUGAAGUGGUCGGCCGACCCGGUCUUUAACCAUCAUUUCUAAGGUUGACCUCGGAUCASGUAGGAAUACCCGCUGAACUUAAGCUAUCAAUAAGCGGAGGA